rnacentral:tRNA from 1 species
UGGGUUGUGGCUCAGAGGUAGAGCGCUUGCCUAGCAUGCAUGAGGCACUGGGUUCAAUACGCAGCACCACAU